GGUUGCUCAUACGCCCAGGGAGAGAUUUAUAAAAGGGAACGAAAAAAAACAAAAAAACAAAAAACAAAACAAAAAAAAAAACUUCCAACAACAAACUAAACCAGCCUACAACCCACCACCAAGCCACGCCCUGCAGGAAGCAGCCGCCCCUCUGGGAACUCCUUUUCCUGCUGCGUCGGAAUUGUCAGACAAAUAAAUCUCUGAGAAACAUC
rnacentral:lncRNA from 1 species